rnacentral:rRNA from 1 species
UACGUAGGGUGCGAGCGUUGUCCGGAAUUAUUGGGCGUAAAGGGCUCGUAGGCGGUUUGUCGCGUCGGGAGUGAAAACCUCGGGCUUAACUCGGGGCUUGCUUUCGAUACGGGCAGACUGGAGGUAUGCAGGGGAGAACGGAAUUCCUGGUGUAGCGGUGAAAUGCGCAGAUAUCGGGAAGAACACCCGUGGCGAAGGCGGUGCUCUGGGACGGUACUGACGCUGAGACGCGAAAGCGUGGGGAGCGAACAGG